rnacentral:rRNA from 1 species
CCCUUAGAUGUUCUGGGCCGCACGCGCGCUACACUGACUACUUCAACGAGUUGUUUCCUUGAUCGAAAGGUCUGGGUAAUCUUUGAAAGGUAGUCGUGAUGGGGAUAGAUCCUUGCAAUUUUUGAUCUUCAACGAGGAAUUCCUAGUAAACGCAAGUCAUCAGCUUGCAUUGAUUACGUCCCUGCCCUUUGUACACACCGCCCGUCGCACCUACCGAUUGAAUGGUCCGGUGAAAUCUCGGGACGGCGGCUUGGUCGCUUGCGUCCGACUGCUGAAACUUGAUUAAACCAUAUCAUUUAGAGGAAGGUGAANUCGUAGCA